UACGUAGGGUGCGAGCGUUAAUCGGAAUUACUGGGCGUAAAGCGUGCGCAGGCGGUUCGUUAAGGUCGUUGUGAAAGCCCCGGGCUCAAACUGGGAAUGGCAAUGGAAACUGGCGAGCUUGAGUGUGGCAGAGGGGGGUGGAAUUCCGCGUGUAGCAGUGAAAUGCGUAGAGAUGCGGAGGAACACCGAUGGCGAAGGCAGCCCCCUGGGCCAACACUGACGCUCAGGCACGAAAGCGUGGGGAGCAAACAGG
rnacentral:rRNA from 1 species